AUUGAACGCUGGCGGCAGGCCUAACACAUGCAAGUCGAGCGGCAGCGGGAAAGUAGCUUGCUACUUUUGCCGGCGAGCGGCGGACGGGUGAGUAAUGCCUGGGAAAUUGCCCAGUCGAGGGGGAUAACAGUUGGAAACGACUGCUAAUACCGCAUACGCCCUACGGGGGAAAGCAGGGGACCUUCGGGCCUUGCGCGAUUGGAUAUGCCCAGGUGGGAUUAGCUAGUUGGUGAGGUAAUGGCUCACCAAGGCGACGAUCCCUAGCUGGUCUGAGAGGAUGAUCAGCCACACUGGAACUGAGACACGGUCCAGACUCCUACGGGAGGCAGCAGUGGGGAAUAUUGCACAAUGGGGGAAACCCUGAUGCAGCCAUGCCACGUGUGUGAAGAAGGCCUUCGGGUUGUAAAGCACUUUCAGCGAGGAGGAAAGGUUGAUGCCUAACACGUAUCAACUGUGACGUUACUCGCAGAAGAAGCACCGGCUAACUCCGUGCCAGCAGCCGCAGUAA
rnacentral:rRNA from 1 species